GGAUCUUGUGUAGGAAUGGAAUAUAUCAAUUCUCAGAUUGAAAAGGAUAUUUUAUUUCCCCUUUUCUCAAUUGAUGAAUACUGCUCAAUGUGCAAUAUUCCUCAAAUCACCUUUGAAGAGAAAUAUAAAGAGAAGAAACUGUCCACGAGUUCUCAACUAGAGGCUGCCUAAUCAACUGCCACCACAAAGGAAUUACAGAUGAUAACUCCUGCUUUGGACUUUUGGACUCCAUCUUAAAAGCAAAUGCAUUGAUGAACUGAUGGUAUCCCUCAUUUACUUUAUGCUUAGAAGGUGCAGACUAUGGAGGAACAUCAAGCAGAGAGAGAUGGGGAAGAUCCCUUCGUUCGCAGUCACCAGCUCAGGUACUGUAUGUCAAUGACAGGAUAGGUUUGAGUUGGCACCAAGAACCAAUGUCCUCGACACAGAGCAGGUGACUGCACAGUAUACCCAGCUGUUGGGCCAAGGGUGAGGAUACAACACAAAACUCAGAUGUGUACAGCCCACAGAAGAACAUAAGCAAAAUGGAAUGCUUGUUAUGUUGAGAAGCCAACCAGUAAACCUAUAGAUAUUGUCAAGGAAGAUGGAAGGGUCCAGCACCAGUCUGGCUCGGAACUUGGAUCCCAUCUUUUCUAGCCUGAAAAUGAUGACUAACUGCAUUAACACAUCGGAUUUGACUCUACAUUGGUUUGAAUGCUGUAUCAAUGCAGCUUCUGGUAGCUGAUGUCACAGCUUCUUAAACCCACAAGCAGCAGACACCCAAUGUGUGAGUGUUGCAGUAGAAACUCAACCACCUAAGCUCAGUCUGAUGCCCUCAUGACCGUGGACUACCAGGACAAGAGAGACCCAACAAGCUGUUCUCCAACUACUAGGAUUGUUGCAGCAGCACACCGGAGAGUGGACCUUGGCUCCAUGGAGUAUGAUCUUUUGUCAAAAUGACAGAAUUGGACCCCCUCCUCUUUGCCAUUAUAUAGUGUCCAUUCUGUGUCUGUAACCACCUAUGUUUGAGAUUCUGUAGUUCACAAUAGGGCCUUCACAGGCCAGAGCUGCUGGAGGUCACCCUGCAAGAGUGUGGGAUUGAACGUUAGCCUCCUUCUACCAGUCAGACUGAGUAGCGGGGUCGGAAUAGACUGAUAUCCAGAGGCAAGUGGAGAAUAGUGAGUGAGUGAGUAAGUAAAUAUUUGUGAUGUUUUAUACCUUCCAAGGGUAUUUCUUUCAAUCUUAACAAAUUUGUCAUUAAAGGUGAUCAGUAAAGAUAUUUCAUUUCUCUUU